CUCUCACCACAGCCCUGACACAUGCACCCAAUGAUGAUACGUACCGAUGCAUGACAGAAGGAACUGGGGCUUUUCCCUGUUUUAGUGAAGAUAAGCCAAUUCAUUACUGAAGCUGGAUGUUUUCUGAUAAAACAGGUACUUCUGUUCUUUUAAGGAAUGUGUAAAGCAGCUUGAAGAUGUACUGUAAAUACUGUUUGUGGAUCUAUA
rnacentral:lncRNA from 1 species